UCGCCAGACUCCUACGGGAGGCAGCAGUGAGGAAUAUUGGUCAAUGGCCGCAGGGCUGAACCAGCCAAGUCGCGUGAGGGAUGACGGUCCUAUGGAUUGUAAACCUCUUUUGUCAGGGAGCAAAGGGCGCCACGUGUGGCGUUUUGCGAGUACCUGAAGAAAAAGCAUCGGCUAACUCCGUGCCAGCAGCCGCGGUAAUACGGAGGAUGCGAGCGUUAUCCGGAUUUAUUGGGUUUAAAGGGUGCGUAGGCGGAACAUUAAGUCAGCGGUAAAAUCGAGGGGCUCAACCCCUUUAAGCCGUUGAAACUGGUGAUCUUGAGUGGGCGAGAAGUAUGCGGAAUGCGUGGUGUAGCGGUGAAAUGCAUAGAUAUCACGCAGAACUCCGAUUGCGAAGGCAGCAUACCGGCGCCCGACUGACGCUGAGGCACGAAAGCGUGGGGAUCGAACAGGAUUAGAUACCCCGGUAC
rnacentral:rRNA from 1 species